rnacentral:sRNA from 18 species
CUAUCUGGGUCUGGGGGAACGUCGCUAAUAGCAGCGAAAUUCACCCCAAUUACGACAGGCACAGACCCGAUAAUCAUACUCACUGAUGACGUCAAAAGGGUUUCUAUGACACAACAGCCGCAAGCUAAAUACCGU